rnacentral:rRNA from 1 species
UACGAAGGGGGCUAGCGUUGCUCGGAAUCACUGGGCGUAGAGCGCACGUAGGCGGAUUGCUAAGUCAGGGGUGAAAUCCUGGAGCUCAACUCCAGAACUGCCUUUGAUACUGGCGAUCUCGAGUCCGGGAGAGGUGAGUGGAACUGCGAGUGUAGAGGUGAAAUUCGUAGAUAUUCGCAAGAACACCAGUGGCGAAGGCGGCUCACUGGCCCGGUACUGACGCUGAGGUGCGAAAGCGUGGGGAGCAAGCAGG